AAUAAAAUAAUUGCCUAAGAGGAGGUCACAGCUUGUAACAACCAGUGAGAUUCUGCUGUUAAUAUUCUCUGCAAAGCUGUCCUUCGCAAGGGCUCCGCUUCACAGCCGGGAAUCCUGCGCUGUGCUUGCGCUGCACUGCUUCUUCAGCCGCCCGGGCCCUGGCACAGGGCACACCGUGACUGCUGCCUUGACAUUCUCCCAAGCUGACAUCCCGACCGGCUGGUCACGUCCAGAACCCCAGCUACGGCUCAAGAGGAAGAGUGGUCUUCUGGCUGAGUCAUUAUCCGGUGCCGUGAGUUCCCAAUUCAGCUGAAAUUUCCAGCUCAUGUGAGCCUUCAAAGCAAAAGGAAAGACUUGUUACGUCCAUAAUGGAAAGUGGGCAAAAGGGGUGAGUUACCUAGAUAAGAGAAACAUCUCAUUUUGAGGGGCUGCAACACUGUACUGUUCUCUGCUGUUGAGACUUAUCUUUGAUUUAGCCAUCCAAACGCACUCGCGAAUGAAAUACCCCAUUUGCAAUAAAGCAAUGCUGCUAACUAAUUACGGUGUGACAAGGGAAGCUUAGGGGCCAAUCAAAACAAGGAGCUGCUGUCACUUCUGUUUUCUCAGUUGAGUAAGAGUCUCAUGGUGACAUUGCUCUGAUGAGAAACAGCAUGAACUAGUGGUUAUAACUACAGUCCGGGAAUAAGGUUUCUUGCUUAUUACGUCUAAAUUUGUCUUUGACGUGAGUGGCAUUGGAGAAGUCACCUAAGCUCAGCAUUCUAAGGUGGCCCCUGCCCAUCCUUUGAUUGUUAAACACAUAGAUUGUGUAUAUGCUCCUUUACAUGAAGAUUUAGGGUUCACCCUGUGUCUCUGAAAAGCAGAGUACAGUAUUCCACCGAGGCACAAGGCUUAUCUUGUAAGUAACAGAGAUUACAAAACUAAAUGUGCAUCUCCUGAAGGCAAAACGUGCAAGGAUGAAAUGGAGAUUGCCUUUGAAAUAAUAGUCUCUUUGAAAAGUAUACCUCAGUUUUUCCCUGUGGAGCUUGGCACUUUUCAUGUCCCUGUGUUCUGCCAUCUUUAUCUGAGUUUAACAGGGAGAAGAUUUGUAAACCCUUCAGGCUGGAAGGGGUUCACUCUGCCCAUCCAGUCUAAUAUCGGUAUAUCCAAGCUUCAGAUACGAAUCUGCACCUUAAGGUAGGUUCACCUCUAUUUAAAGAGCCUGGACUGCAAGCGAAGUCUCACACUAAAAAUUCAGUAAAAGAUGGGUCUUUCAUCCUCUUUCCCCAGGGAGCUUCCCAACCACACAGACAGGAGGUGGGACUGUAUACCCAGAGGAAACCGAGACACGGAGGGAUAGACAGGGAGGGAACGUACUAGUUCAGAGAGUUGGUAGCGGGGCGCAACCUUGUACCCAAAAUUCCUGGGAAGUGAGACUAAGCACGUGUUAACUCCGGGCCAUCCUACCUCCAUAGGCAUUCCUUGACUCCAGCUAAUUAUCCCGCUCCCUUGGAGGAGGAGUAAUGCCUCUCCCAAGCUUCUGUAUUAGCAUCAUGAGAGAACUGAUCUGUGGGCUAUUCAGUGGUUACUUACAUCAUUCUAGUGUUUCCAGCCAUGUGACCUGACCGCAAGGCUUUCAGAAGGUAAUCUGGGGAGAUUUUAUCAAAUGUAAAGUGUUCCUAGACAUUACUGGAGCCGUGAUGUAAUGAACCAAGGUUUUGUUCUUUAAAUUCCUUUUUGCUGAAAAACCACAGGCCCCAAAAUAUUGUUUCGGAGGAGUGGCAGAGUUUAAGCGGGAGGCUGAGAUCUUGUGCUGGGGUGAGCCAGGCUGUGCUGCGGUGCUAGGGAGAAAGGGUUUCUAACUAAGCCUUGUGGGGCUGGUUUGGUGAGAUCUGGGUUGAGCCUCUGGUUGGAACAAUAGCUGCUUCCCAACAACCAUUGUUAUUCCUGCUGCUACAGUGGAAAGUGUUGCCAAAGGAAAAGGGAGCAUGACCAGGCCUGCAUCAUACCUGUCUACUCCUAGUCUGCUGCUCAUUUGAAGCUCUGGUAUUUGUUGUAACUGUGUCUCUUUCAGUUUUUGUGGGGACAGUUCCAGGCCAAAGUCUUGCCUCAAGAGAUCAAAAAGGUGGUCUCCUCAUGUAACACUCCUUUUUAAGUAGCAUCUGUGCUGGAGCUGAGAACCUAGUUUGCAAUAUCUCAAAGCUUUGAAAGACCUAUAAACUCUUUUUAGAGGGACAACAGAUCCUGAAUCACGUGUUUGUGAAAGUCUGCCUGGCAUAUUUAUAUCUGUCCGGGCUGGGAUGAGACAGUGUCCAUGCUUUGAUGCUUUGGAUUUCAGUACCUAUUGAAAUCCGCUGAACAAAUGGUGCCAUUAAUUAUAGGGCAUGGCUUUGAUGAAUGAUGCAUAGGGGACAACAUUUCAUUUUGCCUACAGGGAGGUAAGUGGGAUGGAGAGCUUUGGAGUGUUCAGUGAUGCAGGAGAGAUCCUGGGUGUUGCCUGAUCAAGGGGAAGUUGCUUCCUCUCUCCAGAGUGCUGUAAAGUCAGUGUCAAGUCAGCAUGGCAUCUGGGUUAUGUCAUCUGCUGACGGGGCUACCGCUUCGUACGUCAGAUUUUCUCAGACAAAAACCAAUUCAGCCCUUUACCUAAAAAGCUUUCAGAAUUACUUCAAGGGUUAUGAACAAUUUACUCAUAAAUGGCUUCAGAUCCGCCUGCCUGAGGGACUGACCCAUCCCUGGGUCAUUUUGACACCACAGCAAUGAGCAGAGAGUUCAGAUUCUUAAUCAUAUACAGGAGAUGGGGGAAGGCCAUGGUGCAGUGUCAGGGAGGGCUCCAGGAUCUUAGCACUGUUUCCUUCCCUACAUCCUUUUGAAACUUCCCCAAAUCGAUGAACAUGAGUUUUACAAAAGUCAUUUAUUCAACAAGAUAAUAAGAAAAGCCUGUUUCUGGAGUGGUGAGAAAGGCUCUUUCACAGCUUUGAUUUAACAGCUAGCCGAAUUAAUUUCCUGUGUGUGUGUAUCAUUAUGCUUUGGUGUUGGGAGGUCAUAUCUGUGCCUAAAAGUUGAGAUGAUUACUGACGCACCUGAAGGUUUUGUUCUGUACAGAUGAUAUUGCUUGUCAGUUCAACCGAAUUAAUUACAUCCGUCUGAGAACCUCUCUAGCUGGUGUCCACAAAGGGGCCUUUGGACAGGGUAAUGAGGCUGUUCUCAGUGGUAGGACUUACGGUUGGUUCGUGAGAUACUGUCGGAUGUGAUUGGUGGAAAACAAAACCGUUCGAAAGUGACAAAAAAAGAAGUCAAGAGAAGACAGUGCUAUUGAAACUAAGGCUGCAGGGAGGAGAUAGCCACUCUUGUUAAAGCACCCAAAAUGACAGGGCCAAAUUGGAGUGCAUGAAUUUGAGAUGUGGCCAAGAGAAGUCUUAGAUGAGUGUAAAGAUAGAAAGUGAGAUUUCUUUUAAAUAACUUCAGGUGUUUACAUUGUACAUGUUUACCGAUGAUUUAGUCAUCCAUAUUCUAGUUAUGUAGUGAUUCACUUUAGGAUGAGAUGAAUCAUGCCUUGGAAAUGCCCAUUUCUUAUUAUUGACUGUAAAAGGUUCCUAAUUGUACUGACUUAGGUGACGAAACCUGUACUGCAUUCAUCUACUUCUGUCAGAAUAGCACCCGAGGUGUCAGGGAAGGGAGUGUCAGGAUCAGAGUGAGGAAGACCUCACUGCAGUGACAGGAAAAGCUUGUUCAAUGAGUAUGGAAUUACAGGGAAGAAGUAAGAUUUGAGGAGGCAGGGAUUUCAGAAAGCAAAGGCACAGUUGGAGAAUUAGGAGUUCAAAAGUGAAGGUCAAGGGUACAGGAAAUGGAUGCUGCACAUAGGAGAACACAAAUGGUGAAGAGAAAUGGUUUUCAUAUCUAUUCGAAUUCCGGACAAAUCCAAGGCCAUUCAAAACUAAAAAAAGUUCGGUCACCCCAGAGUAAUCCAGUGCUUUUGGCAUGCAGCUGUGAGAUGCGAGACCGGAGCUCCAGUCUCUGUCCUGCCUUAUUCAUUCUGAUGGACUAGAGGUCUUCCACGUUGCAUCAAGUGUACUAGCUCAAAUGCAAUGGAUGGCAGGGAGGAACUUUUGUAAUCUCUCCUGCUGGAGGCAUUCAGUGUUAUAUACGUGAUAAAAUACUUGCAAGUGGUGUAGAAUUAACCCUGGGUACCACACAUCACACACAGUUAUCCUGAAAAUCAGAUGUGGAGUUGCAGAAGAAAUCCCAUGGUAGACCUGAUAAUAUACUCUCUUUGAAACUCUUCCAUUCUUUUCACAAGAAGUUUUGGUUUGGCUUAAUUGACCUUUACCAACAAAAUUUCACUGAAAAAUUUCCUGACCAGCUUUCUUAAGGAGGCUUUGGAGUCAGGAGAACCAGAAGAACCUUCAGGCAAUGAGUGUAAAACAAAUGAAAUAAUUUAUGAAAUUAGUGACCAAAGAAACUGUGGAAGUCAUUGCCAAGAGACAUGGUGGCAAAGGCACAAAUAUGUUCAAAAAACAUUUAAAUGUGUAGAUGGAGGAUAGGUCCAUCGAUGACUGUACUUGCACCUGAUGUAGGAGGCCUUUAAACAGAUGGAUAAAACAAUUGCCAAGAGUAACAGGGAAAGACUGAGUCUAUGAGGACCUGUUUCUUGUAUUCCUUCCGUAAGUGCCUGUCCCUGCCUUCUGGUGGUGAUCAGGUGCUGAGCUAGAUCGCCCUUUGAUGUGACCCAGCAUGGCAUUUCUUCUUCUUGUUCUGGAAGCAGGAGAGCUACUUCUGCAUCUUCUUGCCCUUGAGACUGCCCGGGAAGAUUACACUGGCUUUUCUUUGCCAAUCUAGUGGGUAUGCCUGCUUUUGUGUACAGCCUGUCCACAUACAUCGACAUGUAGGAUAUGUCUGUGAUGAGACAUAUGUCCUAAGUGUUUGUGGUCAGACACCAUUUCUACGUAAACAUUGGAUUAAAGAGAUAUUAUCUGUGUACCUUUUUUUUUCCUCAGGGCAUGCAGUGGCCCUGACCAGAAAGUCUUGUUUUUGUUAGUGCUUCCCAGACUCAGAGAAUCCUUCCACUCCAAAAACAUUGAACAGGGCACAAACUCCCGGAGUGUGCUUUCCACAUCGACUGCAAAGCUGAGAUUAAAGACAAGCGUGAACCCUCUUCCAGCUCAGUCUGCCUUUUGAGCAUGCUUGUGCCAUGUGUCAGCACAAGCCGUUGAGACAUCUGGACGGGUUCAUGUGAGUCCGUGGGUUUUGGAUCGUUUUGCGUGGGAAAUCCUGCGGUCCUCUGCUCAUCUCACUGACAGGCAGCUCAUGCCUCCGCAUGACACAGCCGAGACAGACCCUUUGCAGAGCAUAAGGGAGGAGGAUGUUCUGAUUUCCUUCCAAAAUUGUUCUCAUAAUAACAUCAUCUGACUAGUUUUGCCCUCCAGAUGGGGCAGGCUCUUGCAGCGCACAGAGAGAUGCAAUGUAUAAACAUCUAGGAGCCAUUUCUUUGCUAGUUCAGGGCAAAACCUGCUCCCAUCCUCCUCAGUUUUACACGUUUAAUUCCAGUGAUCCGGUUUCCACGUGGUAUUGGCUGUCACCGCUCCUGAUUCUUCCUAGCUGACAAUCUCUUUCCUAAUCUUCACCCGAAAGCCUCCUGACUGACUUUGGUACGCACCUGGGAUCUCGCGCUGAACAAGGCAUUUGAACAUACUCUUGGCUGAAACUAGGUCUAAGAGUGGGUGAAACUUGGCAGUGAGGGGACGCAGGAACCAAGUGCCCCAUGAAUGUUGCAAUGGAGGUAGGCUAUAGACUUGGAGCCAGCGUUUACUACAUUUUAAUGCGGUUAUAGGGCAGCCAUCUGACCUCCUCACCUAAUUUGCAAAUAAUCUUGUCAGGACAAAUUAGUCCAUGCUGAGUGCCGUAAUGUUGAGACUAGAUGGUUAUCAGCAUCCGCACUAGCUAAUUUUAAGGUAGUUCUGGUAUCUGAACAAUGCUGUGGAGGCACAGUGGUAGUGAAUGCUGUGCAGGAUUACGCUUUUGCAUUACAGAGAACAUAUACACACAAAACCUCAUCUAUAGAAACCUGGAAUUAAUGGUCUUCCUAUCUGGUUUCUUUCAGGCCAUUUCUGCUUCAGGGGUGAGUGUUGAAAAUAAAGAUUUAAACUACAUUUGAAUCUACAGCUCUGAGCACUGCGAAUUGCUUAAUUCAUCUUGAUAGAGGUGUUCACUCCAAACCCUAAAAGCUUUUAGCUGAGAUUUAGGCUGUGGUUUGAUAUUACAAAUUGCUUGGCGGUAACAUUGGUUUAAAACGUUGUUGUCUCCUGGCCUCUUGUUCUUGCUGCUUUGUUGGCACAACUCCUCAUGUGGUUGUGAACCAGAUGGGAGGAGCGAUCCAACCUGGCCAAAAAAAAAAAAAAAAAUAGCGUGUUUGUUUGUUUGUUUAAAGCAGGAGAAUUUCCUCAGUCUGGUUCAGUGCCUGGUCACACAGACACUUUUGCUGGCACACAUGAGUGGAAAGAGCACGUUGGCAUGGAGGGGGAAUGAGCAACAGAGGGUGAAAGGUGAGCAGCAAUUACUGCUCCUGAUAUGCCGUGGUGUACGUUGCAAUAUCAAAGCGUGGCCUGCACCUGAUCUCAGCAUGUGAAACAUGCUCAAAUACCUUUAAAAUUGUGGGUCUUAACCUUCACUUUUAGGUGUCUUGGCAGACACUUCCAAUCUGUGUGCUUAUCUCAGUUGCCAGCUGUCUUUCUGAACUUCUCCAGCUUCUUGUGUUUUGCAAGUUCAAAAACCUGCGACGCACUGGUAUUGAAAAUGUGGGAAUGAACUAAAAUAAUUGGAGUCGGAUGACAGUGUGAGUAACAGUUGUCACUGCGGGGAAUGUAUCCUUCGUUUCCAUAAUCAGUUCAUUAAGAAAGAUCACAUUUUAACAUAAAUGAAACCAGAAUUUCCGUGGUGACUCUCUCAAAUCUAGAAGUUCCUGUCAUUUAAAUCUAGUUUGCUGUGGAACAUAAAAGAUCAUUCGCCAUAUACCACAUCAGAUGCUGAAUCCAGAGGUGCUGUGGAAUGCUAUGCUAAGCUGCCCGAUAAAAAAGAAAAUCUAUAAAAGAACAGACUUGCAAGGCACUAGAAAGGGGGAGAUUAUUCUCAUUGAAGGUUUGUCCUCCCAUUGUCAGAAGUGCAGUUGUCUGAUAAAUAAAUUCCCUACAGACAUUCAAAAACAAACAGACCCCGAACAGUGGAUUGCCCGAAUGAUUUGGUUAAAGAAGCGUUUGUUUUGUUUAAUAAAUCAUGAUGGUCUUGAUGAAAUUUCCAUUUGCAAAUUUGUGUCUCCAAAAGCUUGUGAAAUAAUGUCUGUCUGUCGUCUUCUGUCUGUCUGUCUCCCCAUCCAUAGAACAAAAUGCAAAUAGUUUCCAGUGUCUCGCGUGUACACCGAAAGUGAGUGUCAACAAGGCCUCUUUGGAUAUAAAUAUCUGUAUGUGCAAAUACUAUAUUGCACUGAAACAGCUUGAAAUCUCAGAUGUGUCCAUCAAUUGACAUAGCUGGUUGAUGAAACUACUUGCUCCUGAAAGGUGGAGUUUGCCACCGCGUUCAGCAAGAAACGCACUUCACUCCCGAUCUGGCCGACGCUCCCGCCGGCAGCCCGCUGCUUGGUUGACGAGCCGGGACCCCCUUCUCCCUCUCCAUCGUCCUGCAGCCUCGCCCGAUACAGGGAGAGAGGAAGAGCGGGAGAGAGGCGUUUCCGCUUCGACUUCUUUGCAGCGACGUGCAGACAGAAGCGGCUCAAGGGAAUCCUGCACAGCAGAGGUUAACGUGACCCACAUAUAAUUGUGUGAAAAGAUGCCACUCUGCGCCUUUGUCAAAGAGGCUUCUCGUUACAGCCCAAGCUGUGUAGUCGCUAGCCCCUUCAGCAAAGCGCAGUUUGCUUGCAUUAAAUCACCACUGCCCUCUUGCCAGCUGCUUAGAGUUUGCACAUUAUACAGAGGAGAUACAUAAUAUAUAUUUAUAUAUUUUUAAAAAGUGACAGAUUGUCUUGUAACAUAUGCGGUAUUGCCUUGAAAUGAACUGCGUGCAUGUGAGGGCCGAGCCAGCAGCCCACGUGUGUGUGCGCGCGUGCCUGUGUGCGUGUGGUUUGUGUUUUUUUCCUUCUGUUGGAAAUCCGAGAGGCUGGGACACUCGAGCUUUGCAUGUUGCUUCUCUCUGAAAUAUUCAUGACGAGUUGACGACCUUGAUUCUUUGAUACCUGCCAUUUAUUUAUGUGCCACUGACGAUAAC